CCCUGCCUUCCAAACCCACGCGCUAAAUUAUCACAGAGCGAGAAAAAAAUUAUGUUUGGUGACCCAACUCCCCGGCCCAAUCCGUGGGAGAGAACAGGGCUUUCGCCCCCGGCCUCACAAGGUCGGGAAGGGUUUCCUCGAGCUCACCCUCUCCACUCGUGCACCCGCCGCCACUUCCUUUCUCUCGCGCACCCGACGUCGCAUCCUCUCUCGUGCAGUUGGGGCCAGCUGUUGGGCCGAGGUCGACGACGGGGUCGACCUCUCCGUGGAGACAGCCAAGGCGGCCGUGAGCCACGCCGCCACGAGCCACCACGAGCACGACGGCGAGCUCAGCGAUCUGGAGUCGGAUCUGGUGGGGCGGCAGAAGACUGGCUGCUCGUCGUCGCCGGCGGCAACAACGCCGGCUGCAGAGCUGAUCGUGCCGCCAGCACAGCAGAUCUAGCAAUUCCAGGUGAAGAGAAGAGAGCCGAUUUGUGCUUGCUAAUCACUGGCGGAGACCUACAGUGCUACUUGCAUGUGUGCGUUGCGUGCAGAUCCAGCAAUUCCAGGAUUUUUGCCACACCAUGUGUGCGUUGCGUGCUUCGAAUGGAUUGAAAUCCAAAUCCAUUUCGUCUUGCCACUGCACUACACCUGCACGCCUACACCUGCACGCCCGGCCGAGCUCUUGACCGGUGGGGAACUUUAGUUUUGUUAUGGUGCACAACCAAUAGUUCUCUGUGUUGGUCUGCUUGUGGGUCUUUUCAUUAUUCAUCAAGUUGCUACUUCUAGUUUUUGUUUGAACUCUUUAGGUUGUGUAACUCUUUAGUUUUGUUUGAACUCUUUAGUAAAAUCUGCUAUUUAGUUACCUCUGGUGUUAUUUACUUACCUCUAUUGUUUACUUGCUUAAAUCUGCUAUUUAGUUACUUCUGGUGUUAUAUACAAGCAUGCUCAGAACUUCAAACAGGAUUAUUUAUUAUUCUUUCAUGCCUAAUUCCUGUAUUUUAGUCACUAUUUAGUAUUUACAUGUCCAAUUCUUUCAUGUCCUGAAACAGUUUUGAUGUUCUUGUUUCUUAGCAUUAAGUUCUUAGAAGAUGAGGAAUUGAAUAUAUAGACAUUUGUCUGAGUUUUUUUUUCUCAUCAACAGGUGGUACAAAAGGGUUUUUC
rnacentral:misc_RNA from 1 species